rnacentral:rRNA from 1 species
UACGGAGGAUCCAAGCGUUGUCCGGAUUUACUGGGUUUAAAGGGUGCGCAGGCGUCUCAACAAGUUUUCGGUGAAAUCUUCCAGCUUAACUGGGAAACUGCCGGGAAAACUGUAGGGAUUGAGUUUGGUUGAAGUGGGCGGAAUGUAUCGUGUAGCGGUGAAAUGCUUAGAUAUGAUACAGAACACCAAUUGCGAAGGCAGCUCACUAAGCCAAUACUGACGCUGAGGCACGAAAGCGUGGGUAGCAAACAGG